AUUGAACGCUGGCGGCAGGCUUAACACAUGCAAGUCGAGCGGGGAGACUGUUCUUGCACUAUCACUUAGUGGCGGCCGGUUGAGUAAUGCUUAGGAAGCUGCCUAUUAGUGGGGGACAACAUCUCGAAAGGGAUGAUAAUACCGCAUACGUCCUACGAGAGAAAGCAGGGGAUCACUUGUGACGUUGCGCUAAUAGAUGAGCCUAAGUCGGAUUAGCUAGUGGGUGGGGUAAAGGCGUACCAAGGCGACGAUCUGUAGCGGGUCUGAGAGGAGGAGCCGCCACACUGGGACUGAGACACGGCCCAGAAUCCUACGGGAGGCAGCAGUGGGGGAUAUUGGACAAUGGGGGGAACCCUGAUCCAGCCAUGCCGCGUGUGUGAAGAAGGCAUUAUGGUUGUAAAGCACUUUAAGCGAGGAGGAAGCUCUUUUGGUUAAUACCCAAGAUGAGUGGACGUUACUCGCAGAAUAAGCACCGGCUAACUCUGUGCCAGCCGCCGCCGUAA
rnacentral:rRNA from 1 species